rnacentral:rRNA from 1 species
UACGUAGGGGGCGAGCGUUGUCCGGAAUCAUUGGGCGUAAAGCGCGAGCAGGCGGCUGAGAGAGCCCCGGCGUGAAAGCCCCCGGCUCAACCGGGGGAGGCCGUCGGAGACCUUUUGGCUAGAGGCCGGCAGGGGUGAGUGGAAUUCCCGGUGUAGUGGUGGAAUGCGUAGAGAUCGGGAGGAACACCGAUGGCGAAGGCAGCCUUCGUGGGCCAACCA